rnacentral:rRNA from 1 species
AAUCUUGGAAAAGGGGUGCAAUGCUGAUCCAACCAUCCCGUGUGUGCGAUGAAUACCAUAGGUAAAUAAAGUACUUUUGGUAGAGAAGAAUAUGUACCGACUAAUACGCGGUAAUGCUGACGAUAUCUCAAGAAUAGGCACCGGCGAACUACCAGCCAGCAGCCGCGGUAAUACGUAGGGAGCAAGCGUUAUUCGGAAUUACUGGGCGUAAAGCGUGUGUAGGCGGUUCGGAAAGAAAGAUGUGAAAUCCCAGGGCUCAACCUUGGAACUGCAUUUUUAACUGCCGAGCUAGAGUAUGUCAGAGGGGGGUAGAAUUCCACGUGUAGCAGUGAAAUGCGUAGAUAUGUGGAGGAAUACCGAUGGCGAAGGCAGCCCCCUGGGAUAAUACUGACGCUCAGACACGAAAGCGUGGGGAGCAAACAG